UGAAUAUGGGGGGACCAUCCUCCAAGGCUAAAUACUCCUGACUGACCGAUAGUGAACCAGUACCGUGAGGGAAAGGCGAAAAGAACCCCUGUGAGGGGAGUGAAAUAGAACCUGAAACCGUGUACGUACAAGCAGUAGGAGCACCUUCGUGGUGUGACUGCGUACCUUUUGUAUAAUGGGUCAGCGACUUAUAUUCAGUGGCAAGGUUAACCGUAUAGGGGAGCCGUAGCGAAAGCGAGUCUUAACUGGGCGCUCAGUCUCUGGAUAUAGACCCGAAACCGGGUGAUCUAGCCAUGGGCAGGUUGAAGGUUGAGUAACAUCAACUGGAGGACCGAACCGACUAAUGUUGAAAAAUUAGCGGAUGACUUGUGGCUAGGGGUGAAAGGCCAAUCAAACUCGGAGAUAGCUGGUUCUCCCCGAAAGCUAUUUAGGUAGCGCCUCGGACGAAUACUACUGGGGGUAGAGCACUGUUAAGGCUAGGGGGGUCAUCCCGACUUACCAACCCUUUGCAAACUCCGAAUACCAGUAAGUACUAUCCGGGAGACACACGGCGGGUGCUAACGUCCGUCGUGGAGAGGGAAACAACCCAGACCGCCAGCUAAGGUCCCAAAGUAUUGCUAAGUGGGAAACGAUGUGGGAAGGCUCAGACAGCUAGGAUGUUGGCUUAGAAGCAGCCAUCAUUUAAAGAAAGCGUAAUAGCUCACUAGUCGAGUCGGCCUGCGCGGAAGAUGUAACGGGGCUAAGCAAUACACCGAAGCUGCGGCAAUAUCUUUUAGA
rnacentral:rRNA from 1 species